rnacentral:tRNA from 1 species
GCCCGGGUGGCUCAGUCAGUUGAGCAUCUGACUUCAGCUCAGGUCAUGAUCUAACGGUUCGGUUCAUGGGUUUGAGUCCCACAUCAGGCU